CGGAGCUGUGCGGGGGCCCCGGAUCCUCUGGCUAACCGUCCGGAUAACCAACAGGACAGACAGACGGAGACAUUGCAAUAUAAGAUUAAGUAACUUUGCCAAUGCCUCACAGCAAGGUGGUGGAGGAUCCAAGAUGCAAGCCUAAGACCCGAACAGCCUCCAUAUUCAGGCCAGUCUGCCGGGAAGAGCAUUGGUUUCAGAAUUCCAGGAGGGGGCUACAACCUGGUAUGACCCCCUCUGGCCAAACACAUCAGCUCUUGAGCAUUCUACCUUCCUAGGCUGUAUGAUGCUCAGAGGGGCUUGAUCUGGCCUCUGUGCCUGUCUUAUGCCCUGGGCUUUCCAAGAUCAUGUAGCUCUUCCCACAGGAUAACUUAGACUCCUGUGCCUGAUAAAGGGUCCUGGGAUACCUACUGAUUCCUAGAAUGGCAUGUGUGAACUCAGACUGAGACUAACCUAAUUUCCUAGUGUAUUCUUUUAUAUCUAGAAUAUCUAACAGCAGGUUCUAAGUCUCUUGGAUGACCCAAUCCUGCUUAAUUUUCACGGGUCCUAAGAUAAAAGAAACGGAGGGGGACUAACCACGGAAGCGCAGGGAGUCUUGGUGGUCACCGGGUGAGCGCAAUUUAAUUUGUGCCUCGCCCCCAUCCAUCACGUUGCAUUAAUUGUGUUAUUUUGAAUUUGCUGGUUUCAUAGCUCUAGAUUAAAGUGUUAUAUUUUAUUUGCUUUUCC
ensembl:processed_transcript Gm14204 predicted gene 14204